rnacentral:rRNA from 1 species
UGGGGGAUAUUGCACAAUGGGCGAAAGCCUGAUGCAGCGACGCCGCGUGGGGGAUGAAGGCUUUCGGGUUGUAAACCUCUUUCGCUAUCGAACAAGGCCCGCUUAGGGUGGGUUGAGGGUAGGUGGAGAAGAAGCGCCGGCUAACUACGUGCCAGCAGCCGCGGUAAUACGUAGGGCGCGAGCGUUGUCCGGAAUUAUUGGGCGUAAAGGGCUUGUAGGCGGUUUGUUGCGCCUGCUGUGAAAACGCGGGGCUUAACUUCGCGCGUGCAGUGGGUACGGGCAGGCUUGAGUGUGGUAGGGGUGACUGGAAUUCCAGGUGUAGCGGUGGAAUGCGCAGAUAUCUGGAGGAACACCGAUGGCGAAGGCAGGUCACUGGGCCAUUACUGACGCUGAGGAGCGAAAGCAUGGGUAGCGAACAGG